CCCUACUCCUACGGGAGGCAGCAGUGGGGAAUAUUGCACAAUGGGCGCAAGCCUGAUGCAGCCAUGCCGCGUGUAUGAAGAAGGCCUUCGGGUUGUAAAGUACUUUCAGCGGGGAGGAAGGGAGUAAAGUUAAUACCUUUGCUCAUUGACGUUACCCGCAGAAGAAGCACCGGCUAACUCCGUGCCAGCAGCCGCGGUAAUACGGAGGGUGCAAGCGUUAAUCGGAAUUACUGGGCGUAAAGCGCACGCAGGCGGUUUGUUAAGUCAGAUGUGAAAUCCCCGGGCUCAACCUGGGAACUGCAUCUGAUACUGGCAAGCUUGAGUCUCGUAGAGGGGGGUAGAAUUCCAGGUGUAGCGGUGAAAUGCGUAGAGAUCUGGAGGAAUACCGGUGGCGAAGGCGGCCCCCUGGACGAAGACUGACGCUCAGGUGCGAAAGCGUGGGGAGCAAACAGGAUUAGAUACCCCGGUAGUCCGAAUA
rnacentral:rRNA from 1 species